CCCUGAUGCACAAGGUACCUAAAAUGUACUAUCACAAUUUUAAAUUUUUAAAAAUUUUCAUUUUUCCUUUACAGUAAAUAAAUUAAAUUUUUCUUUAUAAUAUACAAAAAAUUAAAUAUAAUUUUAUUUUUUUUAUCUUAAAAAAUUUUUAUUUUUUAUUAAAAAAAU
rnacentral:rRNA from 1 species